UACGUAGGGGGCAAGCGUUGUCCGGAAUCAAUGGGCGUAAAGCGCGUGUAGGCGGCUCGAUAAGUCGGCUGUGAAAGUCCAGGGCUCAACCCUGGGAUGCCGGUCGAUACUGCCGGACUAGAGUUCGGAAGAGGCGAGUGGAAUUCCCGGUGUAGCGGUGAAAUGCGCAGAUAUCGGGAGGAACACCUAUGGCGAAGGCAGCUCGCUGGGACGUUACUGACGCUGAGACGCGAAAGCGUGGGGAGCAAACAGG
rnacentral:rRNA from 1 species